UGGGGAAUAUUGCACAAUGGGGGGAACCCUGAUGCAGCGACGCCGCGUGAGUGAAGAAGUCAUUCGUGAUGUAAAGCUCUAUCAGCAGGGAAGAAAAUGACGGUACCUGAGUAAGAAGCCCCGGCUAACUACGUGCCAGCAGCCGCGGUAAUACGUAGGGGGCAAGCGUUAUCCGGAUUUACUGGGUGUAAAGGGAGCGUAGACGGCAAUGCAAGUCUGAAGUGAAAACCCAAGGCUCAACCAUGGGAUUGCUUUGGAAACUGUGUAGCUGGAGUGCAGGAGGGGUAAGUGGAAUUCCUAGUGUAGCGGUGAAAUGCGUAGAUAUUAGGAGGAACACCAGUGGCGAAGGCGGCUUACUGGACUGCAACUGACGUUGAGGCUCGAAGGCGUGGGGAGCAAACAGG
rnacentral:rRNA from 1 species